AUUGAACGCUGGCGGCAGGCCUAACACAUGCAAGUCGAACGGAGUGGCGGACGGGUGAGUAAUGGCUGGGAAACUGCCUGAUGGAGGGGGAUAACUAGUGGAAAAGGUAGCUAAAAGCGCAUACCCUCGUAUGUGCCUAGGUCGGAUUAGCUAGUUGGUGGGGUAAAGGCUUACCAAGGCGACGAUCCGUAACUGGUCUGAGAGGAUGAUCAGUCACACUGGAACUGAGACACGGUCCAGACUCCUACGGGAGGCAGCAGUGGGGAAUAUUGGACAAUGGGCGAAAGCCUUAUCCAGCCAUGCCGCGUGUGUGAAGAAGGUCUUCGGAUUGUAAAGCACUUUAAGUUGGGAGGCGUUACCAACAGAAUAAGCACCGGCUAACUUCGUGCCAGCCGCCGCGGUAAUUC
rnacentral:rRNA from 1 species